ACUCCAUCUCAUCCCUUCCCAUUGUGUGGGGAGUCCAUGGGAUCAGGGGGGCAGGGAGCAGGGUGCCCACUCAUCACUUACCAACUUCCCUUCCUCUAGACCACAUUCCGCUCCUCAGGAAUCUAGAAAUUCAAGCGUGCCUGCAAGACCUGUACACAUAAAUCAGGCUGAGUGCAGUGUAAUCAAGACCAAACCCUGAAAACUUGACAAUUUCCCUCUUACCAAGACCCAAAGGACAGAAGCUAAUGUAGAAAUUUUGAUAGCUAGUGAAAAAGAAAAGGUUCUAUAGAUUUUUGUCUCACAAGCACAAUCCCCAUCUUUUCUUCUCCUGAGAAGGUUAAUUAGAUACUUUCCUUUACUCUUAGAAUAAAGAGAACUAAGGAGGUUUUAAAUUCAUAAAUACUGAAUAUAUUGUGGUCCAUUAAAUAACCUAAUACAAACUUACAUUUGAAAAAGAAUAGAAGUGAACUGUGGCUGUCUCCAUGGAUGCUGAAUUGUCUGCCAUCCUUAUUUAAAGCAACACAAGCGAAGGGAUGUUACUUAGUAGAUGAAAACAGCUUUUUCCCCCAAAGUGGGGGUUUCAGUCACUUUGUCCAACUGAAAACAUUUAGUGGGUACUGCCAAAUCAAUUCAUUGGAAAGGAAGAAGGGAUACUCACUUUGUUUUUAGAUGGCAUGAUCUUGAAUGUAGAAAAUCUUAAGCAAUCCAUAUAAAAGCAACUCUUACAACUAGUGAACAAGUUCAGCAGUGUUGCACGACACAAGAUCAAUAGGCAAAAAAUCAAUUGUAUUUCUAUACAGUAGCAAUAAACAAUCCAAAAAUCCUCCCAGAACCUUCCAGGGCACUAAUUGCCUAAACAGC
rnacentral:lncRNA from 10 species